rnacentral:rRNA from 1 species
UGACUGUACCCUAAGAAUAAGGUCCGGCUAACUUCGUGCCAGCAGCCGCGGUAAUACGAAGGGACCUAGCGUAGUUCGGAAUUACUGGGCGUAAAGCGCGCGUAGGCCGUUGAGUUAGUUAAUUGUGAAAUCCCAAAGCUUAACUUUGGAACUGCAAUUAAAACUGCUCGACUAGAGUUUGAUAGAGGAAAGCGGAAUACAUAGUGUAGAGGUGAAAUUCGUAGAUAUUAUGUAGAACACCAGUUGCGAAGGCGGCUUUCUGGAUCAACACUGACGCUGAGGCGCGAAAGUAUGGGUAGCAAAGAGGAUUAGAUACCCUCGUAGUCCAUACCAUAAACGAUGAUUGCUAGAUGUUGGAAAUCUAUUUUCAGUAUCGCAGCUAACGCAUUAAGCAAUCCGCCUGGGGAGUACGACCGCAAGGUUAAAACUCAAAUGAAUUGACGGGGACCCGCACAAGCGGUGGAGCAUGUGGUUUAAUUCGAAGAUACGCGCAGAACCUUACCAACCCUUGACAUGUCUGUCGCGAGUUUAGGAAACUAGACUUUUCGGUUCGGCCGGACAGAACACAGGUGCUGCAUGGCUGUCGUCAGC